rnacentral:lncRNA from 1 species
GCUUUUGUUGCCAACAAAAAUUAGCAGAAACACCAGCUCUUGUCCUUUCAUUUUAUGCCCACGAAACAGCCGCAAACAAUUUUUAUUAACAGACUGCACCAACUUUUAGCAGCUAAUUCAUGCUUCGGCACCACCUAUUUAUUAACAGAUUGCACCAACUUUUAGCAGCUAAUUCAUGCUUCGGCGCCAUGUUUUCCGUAUUAAUGGGGCCGCUGGUUGAAACCAGGAAGUAAAGAAUCAAGCGUCUAAAAAAGUUAAAAAGAAGUGCUUACAAGUUCAGAGAAGAUAACAUACC